ACAAGUAAUUAAGAGCAACAGGCGGAUGCCUGGGCGCUGAACGGCGAAGAAAGACGUGGUAAGCUGCGAUAAGCCUCGGGGAGGAGCUAAACAUCCUUUGAUCCGUGGAUGUCUGAAUGGGGAAACCCGCCGGGAGUAAUGUUCCGGCAUCUCCACAUGAAAAGAUAGUGUGGAAGAAGCUGACCCAGGGAAGUGAAACAUCUCAGUACCUGGAGGAAAGGAAAUCAAACGAGACUCCCAAAGUAGCGGCGAGCGAAAUGGGAAGAGCCCAAACCAUGUGGUUUCGACCAUGUGGGGUUGUAGGGCCGCCGGACGUGAUUCUGGAGUAGGCAGGAGAAGUCGGCUGGAAAGCCGCGCCGGAGCGAGUGAAAGCCUCGUAUCCGAAACCGAAAAGGACACAGGCGGUACCUGAGUACCGCGGGGCACGAGAAACCCCGUGGGAAUCCGGGAGGACCAUCUUCCAAGGCUAAGUACGAAUCAGCGACCGAUAGUGAACCAGUACCGUGAGGGAAAGGUGAAAAGAACCCCUGUCAGGGGAGUGAAAGAGAAUCUGAAACCUGUUGCUUACAAGCUGUGGGAGCCACAUAACGGUGGUGACCACGUGCCUUUUGCAUAAUGAGUCAGCGAGUUAAUCUGUCGUGCGAGGUUAAGCGAGAGCGGAGCCGUAGCGAAAGCGAGUCUGAUAAGGGCGACAAGUACGGCGGAUUAGACCCGAAACCGGGUGAUCUAUCCAUGAGCAGGUUGAAGCAAGGGUAAAGCCUUGUGGAGGACCGAACCAGUAUCGGCUGAAAACGAUUUGGAUGACUUGUGGAUAGGGGUGAAAGGUCAAUCAAACCCGGUGAUAGCUGGUUCUCCCCGAAAUAUAUUGAGGUAUAGCCUCGGGGAUUGUCUGUCGGAGGUAAAGCACUGACAAGGCUAGGGGUCCUACCAGAUUACCAAACCUUUUCAAACUCAGAAUGCCGACAAGAUGUACCCCGGGAGUCAGACGGCGGGUGCUAAGGUCCGUCGUCGAGAGGGUAAGAGCCCAGAUCGACAGCUAAGGUCUCGAAAUCCAUGCUCAGUGGUGAAGGUGGUGGAGUUGUACAGACAGCCAGGACGUUGGCUUAGAAGCAGCCAUCGUUUAAAGAAAGCGUAAUAGCUCACUGGUCUAAUGACUCUGCGCCGAAAAUGUAACGGGGCUAAGCAUGGUACCGAAGCUUCGGAUUCCUCUUUUGAGGAGUGGUAGGGGAGCGUUCUCUAUGGGCAGAAGCUGCAUUGUAAAGUGCGGUGGACGGUAGAGAAGUGAUUAUGCUGACAUGAGUAACGAUAAAACAGGUGAAAAACCUGUUCGCCGAAAACCCAAGGUUUCCUGGGUAAAGUUAAUCUUCCCAGGGUGAGUCGGACCCUAAGGCGAGGGCGAAAGCCGUAGCUGAUGGAAAACGGGUUAAUAUUCCCGUACUUCUUAUGGUGUGCGAUGGAGGGACGCAGAAAGAUAGGUGGGCCAACUGUUGGAUGUUGGUGCAAGCUGGUAGGAAUGCCUCGCCGGCAAAUCCGCGAGGUGAAUCCGAGAAGCGAGUCCGUGGGCGCAAGCCCUGAAGCCAUUGAGUCUCCGCUGCCAAGAAAAGCUCCUAAGUUUAGCCAUGAGGACCCGUACUGCAAACCAACUCAGGUGGGUGGGAUGAAUAAUCCGAGGCGCUCGAGAGAACUCUGGCCAAGGAACUCGGCAAAAUGACCCCGUAACUUCGGAAGAAGGGGUGCUUUUUCAGGUGACCAUUUUUACAUUGGAAGCCGGAGGAAGCCGCAGUGAAUUGGUGGUGGCGACUGUUUACUAAAAACAUAGGUCUGUGCGAAGUCGCAAGACGACGUAUACGGACUGACGCCUGCCCGGUGCCGGAAGGUUAAGAGGAGAGGUCAGCGCAAGCGAAGCCUUGAAUCGAAGCCCCGGUAAACGGCGGCCGUAACUAUAACGGUCCUAAGGUAGCGAAAUUCCUUGUCGGGUAAGUUCCGACCUGCACGAAUGGCGUAACGAUCUCCACACUGUCUCGGCCAGAGACUCGGUGAAAUUGAAGUCGCGGUGAAAAUGCCGUGUAC
rnacentral:rRNA from 1 species